rnacentral:rRNA from 1 species
UACGUAGGGUGCGAGCGUUAAUCGGAAUUACUGGGCGUAAAGCGUGCGCAGGCGGUUUUGUAAGCCAGAUGUGAAAGCCCCGGGCUUAACCUGGGAAUGGCAUUUGGGACUGCAAGGCUGGAGUGUGGCAGAGGAGACUGGAAUUCCGUGGUGUAGCAGUGAAAUGCGUAGAUAUCAGGAGGAAUACCGAUGGCGAAGGCAGGUCUCUGGGCUGACACUGACGCUCAUGCACGAAAGCGUGGGGAGCAAACAGG